UCAUAAGUUUGUGGUGUUUGUUGGUGCAGAAAAUGGAGACUGUUCGUUCAGGUUCACACUGAAACACACAGAGGAAGGAGGUCCUCAGAGGUGAGAGACCAGAGUCUUCUCUCUCUCUCUCUCUCUCUCUCUCUCUCUCU